AUUGAACGCUGGCGGCAGGCCUAACACAUGCAAGUCGAGCGGAUGAAGGGAGCUUUCUCCUGGAUUCAGCUGCGGACGGGUGAGUAAUGCCUAGGAAUCUGCCUGGUAGUGGGGGAUAACGUCCGGAAACGGGCGCUAAUACCGCAUACGUCCUGAUGUAGAAAGUGGGGGAUCUUCGGACCUCACGCUAUCAGAUGAGCCUAGGUCGGAUUAGCUAGUUGGUGGGGUAAAGGCCUACCAAGGCGACGAUCCGUAACUGGUCUGAGAGGAUGAUCAGUCACACUGGAACUGAGACACGGUCCAGACUCCUACGGGAGGCAGCAGUGGGGAAUAUUGGACAAUGGGCGAAAGCCUGAUCCAGCCAUGCCGCGUGUGUGAAGAAGGUCUUCGGAUUGUAAAGCACUUUAAGUUGGGAGGAAGGGCAGUAAGUUAAUACCUUGCUGUUUUGACGUUACCAACAGAAUAAGCACCGGCUAACUUCGUG
rnacentral:rRNA from 1 species